rnacentral:piRNA from 1 species
UCCUGAGAAUGUGAAAUCCACAUGGGCGG